CCUACGGGGGGCAGCAGUGGGGAAUAUUGGACAAUGGGCGAAAGCCUGAUCCAGCCAUGCCGCGUGUGUGAAGAAGGCCUUCGGGUUGUAAAGCACUUUCAGUGGGGAAGAAAGCCUUGGGGCUAAUACCCUCGAGGAAGGACAUCACCCACAGAAGAAGCACCGGCUAACUCCGUGCCAGCAGCCGCGGUAAUACGGAGGGUGCGAGCGUUAAUCGGAAUUACUGGGCGUAAAGCGCGCGUAGGCGGUCUGAUAAGCCGGUUGUGAAAGCCCCGGGCUCAACCUGGGAACGGCAUCCGGAACGGUCAGGCUAGAGUGCAGGAGAGGAAGGUAGAAUUCCCGGUGUAGCGGUGAAAUGCGUAGAGAUCGGGAGGAAUACCAGUGGCGAAGGCGGCCUUCUGGACUGACACUGACGCUGAGGUGCGAAAGCGUGGGUAGCAAACAGGAUUAGAUACCCGAGUAGUC
rnacentral:rRNA from 1 species